CGUCGUACAAAUCAUUUCCAUAUUUUUUCUACCUUAGAAAGCAGCAAUGAAGACAGGGACUUAAUGGAAACAGAAGACAAAUAAACGCUUACAAACAGACACCUACUCUGAACUUUUUUGUCUUGUGCCCCGACUUUUAAACCGUUGCCGGGCAAGUUUUUUUAAGGUGUCGUGUUGAAUUUUGACAUCCAGGGGAACUUUAAACCCACGCAAGUGAUCGUUGACAAGAAUCCAAUGUCACCACCAAAUUGAUCUCGGAUAGUCAAGACCCACCGAUUACCCAAUAAUUACAAGGUGAAACAGGAGCCGAUGGAACGCAGGUCGGUGCCAAAACCUGCUGCCAACGAUAAUGGCACUAAAAUCGUUAAUUACCGCAACUUCCGACAUCAUCCCCAUCAAAUGCCAUUUCUACUCGAUGAGAAGAGUGCCAAGCCAACGUCCUCGAAACCAAGAGCCAUUGAUCUUAAACGAGAGACAGCCAAGGAACAGAUAAAGCUAUGAUGUCCAGGAAGGUGCUUCUGAAUGUGUCCCCCGGGGAAUGGGUGGCAGAUUAGCUCCACAGUUCACCUUGAGGAUGU